rnacentral:misc_RNA from 1 species
GCGGUGUCAUUUUGGAUAAAAAACUUUUCCUUUUUGCCAAUAGAAAUGAGGCCUGAACCCUCCUCUGGUGGAGUAUAAUAAAGGUUGGAUGGCAUAGAUAUAAUCUCUAUGCCAUUGAUGAAAGCAUACUUACUCAGGGAAGGAGAAAAUGUCAGAUUCAAUUGCUGGUUCUCUGCGACGUUAAAGCAGAAUUCUUUAAUGAAAGAAUAAGUAUCCCUCGCUUCAGCGUAGAAGGAAGCACUGAAGUUGCUUAGUAAAGUGAAAGGCCCCGCUUUGACAUCGAAGAAGUCCUUAAACCUGUUAAAUCCACCCUGAUAUGAAACAGAGUAGAAGUGGAGACGGAUAAAUUUUUGACCUGCAGUGACAGGGAAGGUGUACGUGAACUGGGAUUGAGAGAUGCGGGCUGUCAUGUAAGGGACAUACUGGACGGAGCCGCCUUGGCUAAGGGCGCUAGCAGAAAGGGAUUUGCUACUAGAUUGCUCUAUAGGACCAAAUUUGGAUUUUUGGUCACCGGUCCAUAUGCGCCCAUCAGGUGCAGGUGUGUCACCCGAAGAACCGCAAUUGGUAAGUAUGCUGUCAGUUGGGUUGUAAGCAGGCUUAGAAAUGGCAAUUGCAAGGUGAUGUAGCACGAGAAAGAAGACAAAAGAAGUGAUAGGAUUGAGAGCUAAGAGGUUAUUCAUGGAUGCAAGAACAAACAGAGAAAUGGCUUUUUUUUUUUUCCC